GAAGCCUCAGGGUUCUCAUCCAGGCCAUUUCUGAGCUGCCUUCAAAUCCGCUUCCACUUUGCUCAUUUCCUUGCAAGGUCUGGGGUUAUGCAAGAGCUUACCAUUUUCGCAGUCGGCCUCCUUAGCAAUAAAAAUAAGCGCGGGUGGUGGAAAGGGGGAGCGUUCAGGGGAGAGGGGCCUUCUGCAGUAAUCUAGCCCUGUCCUAGGCGCCAGGGAAGCUUACUGUGGGAAGGAAGGAACAUUCCCCGCCGCAGAGAGGCUGACAACCUCGGUCCUUAGAUACACAAAAACACUCCAGUGUUCUAAUAUUAUCCAGAGCAUCAAAAAGGCAUGCGAGGAUCAAAUUUUGCAUGGUGCCUGCUGAGUGUAAGGAAAGCACCAAGCCAUUUCCUCUGCCCUCUAGAAACUUGUAAUGUACAGUCCUAUCACAAAGCAAAAUAAAAGCAUGCAACCAAUAAAUGGGGAUACCAUAAAGUAUUUUUAUCUCUACACGUUCAUUCAUGCAGCAGGCAUUUAUUGGGUGACUGCAGUACUGCAAAAAGGUUGCAAAGGAAAUGGAAGAUCUGGUCCCUGCAGGUCAGUUUACAAUCCAAUUAGGAAGGUAAGGCAUAUAUACCUGAAACAUCUAGAGAAUAAUCCCCAGGUAUUGUAUAAGCAAAAAGAUGUAUAAGGCAGGGAGGCAUUUUUAUUCAUAACGGGAAAAACAAUACCUGUAUGCUUGGUGAGAAUCAGGAGAGGAAAUUCCAGGUCAAUCAAGCAAAAGUGCCUGUGUGUACCCUUACUCUGUAGAACAGGGACCUCAGUGUCACUUGGCUCAAGCUCUGCCAUUUAUAAACUAUGUGACCUUGGGCAUGUUUUUAACCUCUAUGAAGGGAAUAAAGCCUGUCUCCAGGUUUGUUGUGUGAUUCAAAUGAAAUUACACUUAAUAAAAGCUUCUCAAGCUGCUCUAUGAAUGUUCCUGGGGUACAUCGAUGGAGUUCUCAUUUUACCGGCCUCUUCUUGGUGGCCUUUCUAGUCUCUGGUAGGCUGUAAGCUCCAGGAGGGCAGGGACCAGGUUUGGUUGUGUUCACUGUGCAUCAUCAUCAUGCCUAGCAGAGUGGCACAUGUGGGUGCCCAGCAAAGGUUUGCCAAAUAAGUGAAUAAAUGAACUAAUGAAUCCUGUUACACUUUUAACUGUUCAACUUCUGUGUUCCUUCAGUAGCGAUCUUGUGUGACUGGCUCAAUGCAAAACCCUCUGACUCAACCUUCCUGUGAGUAACUUGUAUUGCAGGAGACUAUCUGGGAGGAUUCAAGAAAGAGUUCUCCCUUCAUAAUGGUAUAGAGAAGAUGGCUUAUUAAAACCUGUAAGGCAGACAUCAGCUUAGUUAUACAUAUCAGCUUCCGGAAGCAAGUUCUUUAGAAGAAUAUUUGGAUGUUUUAGAGCUGGUAUUGUUGAAAAUCCUGAUGGGUUGAUGAGCCACUGUUCAAUUUCUAAAGAUUUUUUGGAAAAAAAAAUAAAGAUCAAUGGUUGAAGGAAUGAA